rnacentral:rRNA from 1 species
CGGCCGCGGUAUCCUGACCGUGCGAAGGUAGCAUAAUCAUUUGUUCUUUAAAUAGGGACUAGUAUCAACGGCAUCACGAGGGUUAUACUGUCUCCUCUCUCCAAUCAGUGAAACUGAUCUCCCCGUGAAGAAGCGGGGAUAAAUCUAUAAGACGAGAAGACCCCAUGGAGCUUUAAACUCAACAACAAUUUCCCUUAAGAUAUUCUACAUAAUUAUGGAAGUACUGUUUGUUAGUUUUGGGUUGGGGUGACCGCGGAGAAAAAUUAAACCUCCACGACGAAUGGAAUUAACUCCUAAUCUAAGAGCCACCGCUCUAAGAAUCAAUAAAUUGACAUAAUCUGAUCCGAUAAUCGAUCAACGGACCAAGUUACCCUGGGGAUAACAGCGCAAUCCAUUUCAAGAGCUCCUAUCGACAAAUGGGUUUACGACCUCGGAUGUUGGAUCAGGGUAAUCCCAAGUGAUGCAGCCGCU